CCUACGGGAGGCAGCAGUGAGGAAUAUUGGUCAAUGGCCGGAAGGCUGAACCAGCCAUGCCGCGUGAAGGUCAGUGCCCUAUGGGCGUUAAACUUCUUUUGUGCGGGAGCAAUAAUGGUCACGUGUGGCCAGACGAGAGUACCGUACGAAUAAGCAUCGGCUAACUCCGUGCCAGCAGCCGCGGUAAUACGGGGGAUGCAAGCGUUAUCCGGAUUUAUUGGGUUGAAAGGGUGCGUAGGCUGUGAGGUAAGUCAGCGGUGAAAUGCCCCCGCUCAACGGGGUGAAGUGCCAUUGAUACUGCCUGGCUGGAAUGCGGAUGCCGUGGGAGGAAUGUGUGGUGUAGCGGUGAAAUGCAUAGAUAUCACACAGAACACCGAUUGCGAAGGCAUCUCACGAAUCCGCGAUUGACGCUGAUGCACGAAAGCGUGGGUAUCAAACAGGAUUAGAUACCCGUGUAGUC
rnacentral:rRNA from 1 species